rnacentral:rRNA from 1 species
GCCAGCAGCUAUAUCAAACUGGCAAUCCACUAAAGCCAAGCAGGUGUGAGCCUGGCCAGUACCUGAAUGGGAGACCUCCUGGGAAAGCUGGAAGAGGUGUUAGUG